CCCCAUCCUCACUAUCAUCAAUGCCAUCAUCACCACCAUGGCAAUGGCAGCAGGACACAGAGCACAUUUAUAAACUGACUUCUAUCUUUUAAAUACAUCAUUAAUCCUCCAAACAAACCUACAAAGUCCACCAAAAUUGUUUUCAUGUAGGAAAAAUACGGGCUUAGAUCAAUCAGGGUAUGUAGGAAGCUUGUGCAGCUCCUCCCAUUAGAAGGGAAUAAAUCAACUCUUUCACCCACGUGUUUUUUGAUGCUGCAGUUCUUUUUCCCCCUAAGCACACCAUCUCGAAACCAGAAAUGUUACAGUCAGCAUUCACAACCAGCUCCAAUGGGUGUGUCCAUACUUCAGAAACGAGGAACGUGACAGAAGUCAGAGUUAAAGAGGACACGCACGCUUCUGCCUUUAGACUCAGGGUUCACAUGCCUGGAAACACCUGGGGCCUCGACCCUGAUCAAAGACGACCUUCGAGGGUAAGAACUGACCUCCACACAUUACCUGCAAUACAUGUGGUCACAAAGUGGAAUAUUUAUUAACACGUGCAAGUGGUUAAAACAAAGACAAGCACUGGGGCUAGAGCUGCCAUCUUGGACCAUGGAGCCAUCUGACAGAAGGAUGCUGGCCUAGGAUCAUGCAGGGCCAUACAUGGCAAGAGUGUUCCAGUGAUUAGUUUGAGCUCCAACACUUUUGGUGCCAUCCAGUCUACCUGAGAACACCUGAAUAAAAUCUACUUUCUCAUCUAUGCAAAGACCCAAGGGAUGCAGCAAAGCCAUGUGAAAUCUCCAAACGUUGGAAAAGAUCAGUGUUAAGACCAGAGAAUCACUUGCAGGCUGCUGUGUACACCCGGACGGACACACAGAGAUGAAACCACCGCACAAGAACACCUGCAUUUUUUAGUCAAAGCAACUUUCAUUCAAAGAAAUACAAAUUAAUUUAACAUGAAUAA